rnacentral:misc_RNA from 1 species
GCAGGGGAUAUAGGGUUAGAAGAGAGAACCGAGAAGAAAUGAAGGUUCCCAGGAGGCCGAUUCAUGCAAUUACGACAUGGGUUCGGAGACAACCGCCGAAGAUGAAAGCCUUUUUGGGAGUGGUUUCUGCGAUUAUCUCUCUUGUUCUUCUCUAUGUGAUGGUUCAUGAUCACAACAAGCUUUUUGUGGCUGCUGAGGCUGUUCAUGCCAUCGGAAUUGCAGUUCUUAUUUAUAAGCUCAUGAAGG